UUCUUCGAGGCCGAUAAAAAAAAUAUACGGUUCUUGGAGAAUGUAUAAUUAUUGGAGUCGAUACAAAUUGUGUCCUAAUAUUAAAUCAAAUUUAUCUUUUAUAAAACCCUGUCAUCCAUUAAAACAAAAUAAAGAGUACUUCGAUCGAUCUUUAAGCAUUCUCCUAAAACAGUUUUCCCGCCGACGUUUGAUUUAUUUUCUUCAAACGGUUCUCCUUUUCGUUCUUUUAUACAUAUAUAUACUCCUAUAAAAAAACUGUUUUCCUUCGUUUCUUAAACUUAUGAUCCACAAAUUCCGCACCGUCCAUUUCAAACGUCAGUUAUCAACCGCCAUAACUGUAAACCCAAUCAACCAAAACGGCCGAAACCAUCAUUUUAACAACGAAUUUUCACAUCUGGGUCGACUCAGAGCUUCAGUGGCGGGUUUGGAAACGACCCAUUUCUUGAGCUCAUACUUAACCCCUUCCUUACUUUCCAUUGCCUUGAAAAACUCUGCAAGAAUGGGUUCUUUUUUGGGAGGACUACAGCUACAUGGGUAUCUGUAUAAGUCAGGGUUAUGUAAUGUACUGUCAUUGCAAAACCAGCUCUUGAAUGUUUAUGUUAAGUGCAAGGAGUUCCAUGAUGCUUGCAAUCUGUUUGAUGAAAUGCUGGUGAGGAAUAUUGUAACUUGGAAUACUUUGCUGUGUGGUUUAGCUACCUGUGGAGCUGGUUUUAGGUCGAUUUUCGAUCUGGGUUUUCCCUAUUUCAAGAGGAUGUUAUCACAGAUGAUGAGCCCUGAUUGCAUCACGUUUACGAGUUUGCUUCGUGUCAGCAUUGAGCUGGAUGAUGUUGAGAUUGGCCGGCAGUUGCAUUGUAUUAUAGUGAAACUGGGACUGUGUGUGAACUGCUUUGUAAGUAGUGCUCUCGUUGAUUUCUAUUCGAAAUUCGGUUUAGUUGGAGAUGCAAGAUGCACUUUUGAUUGUUGUUUGGGGAAAGAUUUGGUCUUGUGGAACGUGAUGGUGUCUUGCUAUGUUUCGAAUUGUUUGGAAAAAGAUGCUCUUUUGGUCUUUAGUCUGAUGCGGUUGGAGGGUGUAAAUGGGGAUGGUUUUACAUUUAGUAAUCUGCUCAAUGCCUCUGCCGUUUUGGGAUGUUCAGUGUUUGGUAGGCAGCUUCAUAGCCUUGUUAUUAGCUUGUCAUUUGAUUUAGACGUGGUAGUGGCUAGCACACUUGUUGAUAUGUAUGCGAAGAAUGAAAACAUAGAGGAUGCUCGCAAGACCUUCGAUGAGAUGGUCUUCAGAAAUAUUAUCUUGUGGAACACGAUGAUUGUGGGUUAUGGACAACAUGGUGACAGAAAGGAGGCAGUAGAACUUCUUGUGGAGAUGUUUCGAGAAGAUUUGCAUCCUGAUGAACUGACUCUGGCAAGUGUCCUUAGUUCAUGCGGUAAUUUAUCCUCUUUUUCAGAAAUUGUGCAACUUCAUGCCUAUGCUAUAAAAGUUGGGCUUCAAACUGUUUUAUCAAUUGCAAAUUCGCUAAUAAAUGCGUAUUCCAAGUGUGGUACCAUUGCUGUGGCAUUCAAAUGUUUCAGCUCUAUUUCAGAGCCCGAUAUUGUUUCAUGGGCUUCAAUGAUUAGGGCCUAUGCAUUCAAUGGUCUUCCAAGAAAAGGUAUUGAACUCUUUGAUGAGAUGCUAUUGAAUGGUAAAACGCCAGAUCGAGUUGCAUUUCUUGGUGUUCUCUCUGCCUGUAGCCAUGGAGGAUUAGUAGAUGAGGGGCUUCAUUACUUCAAUCUAAUGACUAAUGUCUACAACAUUGAGCCACAUUCGGAGCACUAUACUUGUCUCAUUGACGUACUUGGGCGUCUCGGUCUUGUAGAUCAUGCUCUAGAAGUCUUGACAUCGAUGCCUUUUGAACCAGGAUCAGACCAGCUGGGAGCCUUUAUUGGGGCAUGUAAGGUCCAUGGAAACUCAGAAUUAGCAAAUUGGGCUGCUGAAAAGCUUUUCGUACUUGAACCAGGGAAGCAUGCUAAUUAUACCCUCUUGUGUAAUACAUAUGCUUCUAAGGGUUGUUGGGUUGAUGUAGCAAGAGUUCGAAAAAUGAUGAGGAACAGGUGCAAUGAUAAAGUCCCGGGUUGUAGCUGGAUAGAGAUUGCUGGUGAGAUUCACACCUUUGUGUCAAGUGAUAAAUCCCAGCUUCGAGCAUUAGAGGCAUAUGCAUUAUUGGAAGUGCUGGUCAAAUUAAUGGAGGAGGAAGAUUGUUUGCCCUGUGUAGACUAAAUUUGGUUGCAUUGAGGAAGAUCCUUGGUCAGUUCAGACUUCAUGUGACGUUUUCUUUGAGAACACGGGUGAUUGUCGGGUGGAUUCUGGUUUGCUUCUAAUUUGAGCUGAGAAGAGCAAUGUCUACCAGUUUGGUUGAUCGAGCUGGUUCCAGGCAGGCACCCUACUGAACCUAAACGGAGACUAAAGCAAUGCACACAAGACGGGUUUACUCUGUUUCUUCCUAAACCUGAUGGAAAUCACUUGUUUCUGGGCAAGAACAACUCUCUCGUGUGUAGAUAUUCAAUAUUCCAUGCAAGGGUUAAGGUGAUUUAGAUUGUUCAAAUGUAGGCCAUCUAGAAGUUUUCCGAUGGAAAUACCAUAUCAGCACUAAUUACAAGCUUAAAUACCUGUAAUGAGCAUUUGUAUUCUGAUAUAUAGUUACUAAUACAGAAGAAAAAAACUGAAAACUGAAAAGCAUAAGGUUGUGAGCUUUACAGAACAACAGAUACCAUCGGGAGCAUUUGUACUCUCGCUACGCUGCUCUACAUUUUGAGAAGUGAAAUCUAAAUUGUCAUAAUAUUUCAC